GACGAACGCUGGCGGCGUGCUUAACACAUGCAAGUCGAACGGAAAGGCCCUGCUUUUGUGGGGUGCUCGAGUGGCGAACGGGUGAGUAACACGUGAGUAACCUGCCCUUGACUUUGGGAUAACUUCAGGAAACUGGGGCUAAUACCGGAUAGGAGCUCCUGCUGCAUGGUGGGGGUUGGAAAGUUUCGGCGGUUGGGGAUGGACUCGCGGCUUAUCAGCUUGUUGGUGGGGUAGUGGCUUACCAAGGCUUUGACGGGUAGCCGGCCUGAGAGGGUGACCGGCCACAUGGGGACUGAGAUACGGCCCAGACUCCUACGGGAGGCAGCAGUGGGGAAUACUGCACAAUGGGCGGAAGCCUGAUGCAGCAACGCCGCGUGCGGGAUGACGGCCUUCGGGUGGUAAACAGCUUUCGCCUGUGACGAAGCGUGAGGGACGGUAAUGGGUAAAGAAGCACCGGCGAACUACGG
rnacentral:rRNA from 1 species